GAGGGAGGGAGGGAGAGAGAGACUUUUUUUUUCAUUGGAGUCAUGUUACUGGAGAUGCAGCAGUCUUGUGUAUUUACGAGCUGUAUGCUAACAGAAGUUUCAUCAUGGUGAUGAAUGAAUUGUUUAUGGGCCUACAUUACACACUCUCUUCAAGUGGAAGGCUUGCGAGGCAUAGUAACAAACCCCACCAAAUUGGAAUCCACCACACUUGUUUUCUGUUAUGGUGUUGAUUUUUUUUUUUCACCAGGAUUGCCCCGUCAAGAACGUAUCAUUCGCUUACAGAAGAUUUUAACUACGCACUUCUUCUCAUCACAAUUGUUGCAUUGGUUGCUGCUAUUUUUGUGGCAUGGAUUUUGUCUGAGAAAAAGGAGCUGAGAGAAAAAUGGAGGUGAAUGUAUCCCCUCCUAUUACCGUGAUAAAGUUGUGUUGCCUUAGUCAUUAUGCAAACCUUGUUUUAGUUAAUUUUGUUCGACUUUCUCAACCCAUUGUAGCAUUGAUAUUUAUGUUAUUUGACAACAAGCAUCUUUGUUGGAGCCAUCUUUGGCAUUACAUCCCUGUGAAGUCUCAGUACAGAUCUUUGGCAUUACACAUCUUCGGCAUUGUAGCCCACGGAAGCCAUUCGGAUUUGCUGGUGAGGAAGUUGUAAACUGCUGAAGAGAUUCUGACAAUGACUGCCACCAGAGAGCACGGACCAGCUAUGAUUCAUGGGCGACAAGAAGGUGCCCUCUCUAUUUGCUUCCCUGGUGUUGUCAUUGGAAGCCCUUUCAGAGAAAGGGUUUCUUUCAGAUGCUGCUAUCAAAUUUUUAAAGCCGGAACCAAACUAAAUGCCUGGAGUGGGCUGCUCAGCUCUGGGAUAUUUGGAGGGUACCAGUUGGAAGUCGGUAUCUUUCCUCGUCUGGUGGGCCUACGUGCCGCACCGUCACAACCAGGAACGCCGAGUUAUGACUCGGGUUUCAUGGAGGGAGUGGUGGCACCUCAUUCACCAUCCCCUCAUUUCAUCCACGACAUCUGUAGACGCUUAGCGAGCCAGCUGAAUUGAAGAGGGAACGUAUGGCUGUGGAAUUCGAAACGCGGUGCAACCCGCUAGAUCGAAGAUUUUUUGGGCAAGCAUGCCUGUUAUAGCAGCAGACGUGAGUUGGCCACAACCGAGAGGAAAGCAAAGAACUUGAAACCGAAUUGCGCGUCAGAAAAAUUAUACACAGUGGUUCAAAGUCUCUUGGUGCUUUACUGCUUUCGGGUGUCCAUUCUUUUGAAGUCCUGGUUCUAACUUCUAAUCAAUGCAGUCCAUUUAUAGGAACACCAUGGAGGCCUGCCACUUCGCAUUGCUUUGUAAGCCAUGUGAUAUGAUGGUGCUUCCACCUCUUUGGAGAUAUAUACCAUGUUCAUGCCUAUGUGCGGUCCUUAUUUGCGCCCACCCAGCCAACAUGGUUCAAACACCAUCAAAAGACGGCGCCGGUUUCAAAGACCCAGAUAUCCCCAGAUAAUGAACCAUUCCUCCCCACUCUUCGCUCUUUUUAUUUGAUUGCGCAUCAUCUCCAUUAUUGUCACUCUCCAGUUCGGGCCCCUUUUUUUUUUGGGUUUCUGUGGAUAUUAUUGAGGAAUAGGAUACUGUUGUCAUUAUGAGCCCUCUAAUGGAUGAUCCUGGAAAUAAACAAACACUCCCAACAGGGAAAGGCCUAUCCAUCUUAGUAGGCCUGACGGCAAGGCAGGCACACCAGCCCUACUUAAAGCAUGGAGGAGUGCGAGUGGUGGGCCUGGUGGCACCUCCCCAGCUGUUGUAAAGAUCUCCGUGCCCACACUGCUGGAACCCAGCCCGCAGAGGUGAACGGAUGCAACCGCGGGUGCUGCUGCCAUCGUGUGCGCAAAAUUCCCCGUGGGUACCGCCGGAAGUCGAGGCAUUUCAACUUCGGGUAUCGUGUCAGAAAUUUGAUAACCUUUUGUAUUUUUAUUCAUAAACAGGCGGACGGCUGCUGUAUUUCCAAUGUUAGCUUACAGUAUGAUGAUACAUUAGGUGGUGAGUGGUGACAAAUUGGACCCUCUUUGCGUUAUUCAGCCUUGUAGAGUUUAACAGUAAGGAUAUACGACAAAACAAUAAGAGCAAUGAAACAGCUCUCCGUAGGCAAAUUACUGUUU